rnacentral:rRNA from 1 species
AGCGAACGCUGGCGGCAGGCCUAACACAUGCAAGUCGAACGGAUCCUUCGGGAUUAGUGGCGGACGGGUGAGUAACACGUGGGAACGUGCCCUUUGGUUCGGAACAACUCAUGGAAACUUGAGCUAAUAACGGAUGUGCCCUUCGGGGGAAAGAUUUAUCGCCAUUGGAGCGGCCCGCGUCUGAUUAGCUAGUUGGUGAGGUAAAGGCUCACCAAGGCGACGAUCAGUAGCUGGUCUGAGAGGAUGAGCAGCCACAUUGGGACUGAGACACGGCCCAAGCUCCUACGGGAGGUAGCAGUGGGGAAUCUUGCGCAAUGGGCGAAAGCCUGACGCAGCCAUGCCGCGUGAAUGAUGAAGGUCUUAGGAUUGUAAAAUUCUUUCACCGGGGACGAUAAUGACGGUACCCGGAGAAGAAGCCCCGGCUAACUUCGUGCCAGCAGCCGCAGUAAGAC